UCAGGAUGAACGCUAGCGACAGGCCUAACACAUCGUAAAGAUGGGGAGGGGCAGCAUUUCUAGCUUGCUAGAAGAUGGCGACCGGCGCACGGGUGAGUAACGCGUAUGCAACCUACCUUACAUUGGGGGAUAGCCCAGAGAAAUCUGGAUUAAUACCGCAUAAUAUAUUUGAAUCGCAUGGUUUAAAUAUUAAAACUCCGGUGAUGUAAGAUGGGCAUGCGUAGCAUUAGUUAGUUGGUGAGGUAACGGCUCACCAAGACGAUGAUGCUUAGGGGGUCUGAGAGGAUAGUCCCCCACACUGGUACUGAGACACGGACCAGACUCCUACGGGAGGCAGCUGUGAGGAAUAUUGGUCAAUGGACGCAAGUCUGAACCAGCCAUGUCGCGUGCAGGAUGACGGCCCUAUGGGUUGUAAACUGCUUUUUUACAGGAAUAAUUGUCGCUACGUGUAGUGAUUUGAAUGUACUGUAUGAAUAAGGAUCGGCUAACUCCGUGCCAGCAGCCGCGGUAAUACGGAGGAUUCGAGCGUUAUCCGGAUUUAUUGGGUUUAAAGGGUCCGUAGGCGGUUCUUUAAGUCAGUGGUGAAAUCCCAGAGCUCAACUCUGGAACUGCCAUUGAAACUGAGGAACUUGAAUAUGGUUGAGGUAGGCGGAAUACGUUAUGUAGCGGUGAAAUGCAUAGAUAUNACGUAGAACRCCCAAUUGCGAAAGGCAACUUCCUAAACCAUUAUUGACGCUGAUGGACGAAAAGCGUGGGGGAGCGAACAAGGAUUAGAUACCCUGGGUAGUCCACGCCGUAAACGGAUGAUUUACUGGUUGUGCACAAUACAUCGUGCCGUGACUGAGGCGAAAAGCAUUAAGUAAUCCUCCCUGAGGAGUACGUUCGCAAGAAUGAAACUCAAAGGAAUUGACGGGGGGCCCGCACAAGCGGAGGAACAUGUGGUUUAAACUCGAUGAUACGCGAGGAACCUUACCUGGACUUAAAUGUAGAUUGACCCACUUAGAAAUAGGUGUUCUCUUCGGCGCAAUUUACAAGGUGCUGCAUGGUUGUCGUCAGCUCGUGCCGUGAGGUGUGGGGUUAAGUCCCCNNUNNCCGAGCGCAACCCCUAUCGUUAGUUGCUAGCAGGUAAUGCUGAGGACUCUAGCGAGACUGCCACCGUAAGGUGAGAGGAAGGUGGGGAUGACGUCAAAUCAGCACGGCCCUUACGUCCAGGGCUACACACGUGUUACAAUGGCCAGUACAAAGGGCAGCUACCUGGUGACAGGAUGCUAAUCUCAAAAGCUGGUCUCAGUUCGGAUCGGAGUCUGCAACUCGACUCCGUGAAGUUGGAUUCGCUAGUAAUCGUAUAUCAGCAAUGAUACGGUGAAUACGUUCCCGGGCCUUGUACACACCGCCCGUCAAGCCAUGGAAGCCGAGGGUGCCUGAACGCUAUGUUAGCCCAAGGAGCGUCCUAGGGUAAAAUUGGUAAC
rnacentral:rRNA from 1 species